rnacentral:lncRNA from 1 species
GUCAAAUAAUGGAAAUAUCAUAAAAACGGGACAUAAAAAUAGUGAUAAUAACGAUAACAAUUAGUGUAGGGGGUUCAAAAAUCAUGUCCUCAUACUUGGCAUAAACAGAUGGCACACGCCAGUCAACAGAUUAUAGGGGAAGCUAGCUCAUGGGGUAUGAACUAUGAAGGUUUUAAAGGCGCCGAAGUACUUUAGUCAAAGUGGGUGCCAUUAUAUCUCAACACAUUCUUUAUAGGGUUACUUGUAUAUACAAGGUCAACAAAAUGGCCUCUAAUACAAUGUAUAAAGAAGUGGAUGCACAUUAUCCCUUUCCCUUCUAAAUCUGCAUCCUCUCUUCGGCGCCUUUUCUUCCUUCAGAUCAUGUUCUAAUCAUCCCCCGUGGGAUUUUUCUUGCAAGCAUUUAUCUGGCGUUCCCAAAAGGACUUCUUUAGUCAGAAAUAAGGAUUGGAAACAGAAAAAUAAGAAAACAAUAAAUAAUAUUUGAGUAAAGUUAAGUAACAAAUAAUGUGAAUAAAACAAAUAAAGUUAAUCUAGUUAUUAAAGAGACAUAAUUAUAUAUUAUAACGAUGGCAUAACACAGUCAACAACACAUUACUAAGGAAGCUAGAACACGUGGUCUACAGGUUUAAAAUGUGCUGAAGUAAUUAUCAAAUUCCCAAGGACUAUUUCUUUAUGCUCCCCCAAAGCCUAUACAAGGUCUGGAAAUUAGGCCAGAUAACAAUGUCAAUUGUCAACUAUACAAGGCCUAACAGUUUGAUUAAGUGGAUAUCUAUAAUCCCUUCCACUUUCGAGCAUGCAUUGUGCAUUCUUGAUGUCUUCAACACCUUUUAUCCUUACAGGUCGUGUUCUAAUUCAUACCACAAUAAUGUGUUGUAUAUGUAAGCCUUUACCUAGUGUUUCCAAAAGUACAUUUACCUAGUAUAUCUUACAAAAGAAAUCCAAAAUCCAAAAUAAAAUAAAAUAAAAAAAAAAAUUAAGCACAAAUAAAGUCAACCAUAUGCAACGGACAACAAGUGAGCAAUAACAAAGAAAGAAAGAUAGAGAAGAGUUACCAUAAUAAGUUUGAUGACUCCCAGCAAACAGUCAACACAUUACUAAGGAAGCUGGAUCACAUGGUCUACAGGUUUCAAAGGCGCUAAAGUAUCUACUACCCAAGCACUAUUUCUGAAGUCUCCAUUCACCAUUCCCAGACUAUGCACACAAGGUCUGACAAUUAGGCCAGAUAACAACAAUGUCAAAUAUAAAUGGCCUAAUAGUCAACAAGUGGAUAUCUAUGACCCUUCUAAUUUUGAGCCUGCAUUCUCACUUCGGCGCCUUUUCUUCCUGCAGGCCCUAUUCUAAUUCAUGCCCCAGCAAUGUGUGUGCUGUAUCCACAAAGCCUUUAUCUAGCGUUACCCGAUUUUAGUCACAAAUAAUGAUUACAAAGAAUAAUAAGAAUAAUACAAAUAAGAAAACAAAAACAUAUUGAUGUAUAUCUUAUAAGAUAAUAAGAAACACUAAACUUCAAAGUGAAAAACACAUUAAGCAUGCAUAAAACAAAUAAAAUCAAUGAUAUGCAAAAAAUAAAAUAAAAAAUAAAAUCAAAAGAACAAGUAACUACAAAAAUAGACUAACUACAACAACAAGUCUGACAGUUCUAAAGCAUGUCCUUAUACGUGGCAUAACAUAUGGCACUUGUGCCAGUUAACACAUUAUUAAGGAUGCUAGAUCACAUAGUCUACAGAGGUUUCAAAGCUGCAAAGUAAUUAUCUAUUCCCAAGCACUAUUUUGUAGGCUCCAUUCCCAAGCUAUCUAUACAAAGGAAAUAAAUUAAACUAGAUAGCUAUACAAGGGAAAGAAAUUAAACCAGAUAGCAAUGUCAUAGAUAAAUGAUCUAAUAGUUUUAAUAAGUGGAUAUCUAUGAUCGAUAUGAUCCCCUUCGACUUUCAAGCAUGCAUUCUCUACAACGCCUUUUCUUCCUGCAGUUCGUGUUCUAAUUCAUACCCCAACCAUGUGUGCGACUGUGUGUUUGUUUGUAUACAAGCCUUUAUCUAGCGUUCCCAAAAGGACAAUUAUAGUCAGAAAUAAGGAUUACAAAAGAAAAAUAAGAAUGCAAAUAAGAAAAUAAUAAAUAUCAGUGUAUGCAUCUAAACAUUGAAUUACACAAGAAUAAAGCAAAUUAAAUCAAUCAUAUACAAAGAAUAUAGAGAAAUGAUUAAUGUUAAAAGCAGACAAAAUUAUUUAUAAAGCGAGAAUUACUAUAAAAUCUGACGGCGCAUGGCACUUGGCCCAGUCAACACAUUACUAAGGAAGCUAGAUCAUGUGGCCUACAGGUUUCAAAUGCGCUGAAGUAGUUAUCUAGUGCUUGCACUAUUUGUUUUGGCUCCAUUCCCAUCUAUGCCAGAUCAGUAAUAAGUGGAUAUCUAUGAUCCCUUCCACUUACGAACCCUUCUUUCUAUCAGCGCCUUUUAUUUCCUGCAGGUAUUGUUCUAAUUCAUUCCCCCAACAAUGUGUGUGACUGUGCGUUUGUGUUUGCAAGCCUUUAUCCGAAAGGACAAUUACAGUCAGAGAUAAGGAUAGCAAAAGAAAAAUACGAACACAAAUAAGAAAAUAAUCAAAAUCGAUGCAUAUCCUAUAAAAAAUGAAUUAAGCAUGUAUGAAGCAAAUAAAGCCAAUCGCAUGCAAAGAAUAAGUGUUUAAUUAUAAAAGAAGUCACAGAAGUAUUUAUUAUAGGGAUAAUUACUAUAACGUCUGACAUCAUGCUCUUUUACGUGGCAUGACAGAUAGCAGUCAACACAUUACUAGGGACGCUAGAACAUGUAAGCUACAGGUUUCAAAGGCGCUAAGUAGUUAUCUAGUGCCCAAGCACUAUUUCUUUUGGCUUGACUCCCAAGCUAUCUAUGCCAGGUCUAAAAUAAGUGGAUAUCUAUGAUCCCUUCCACGUACAAACCUUCAUUCUAUCUUAAGCGCCCUUUUCUUCCUGCAGAGAUUGUUCUAAUUCAUUUCCCAACAGUGUGUGUGACGUAUUGACAAGCCUUCAUCUAGUGUUCCCAAAAGGACAAUAGCAGUCGUACAUAAGCACCACAAAAAAGCAAUAAAUAAUAAUAGAUAUUUCUCAUAAAACUCCAAAAACACUGAAAAUAAACUAGGAAUGCAAAAGACCCAAAAAAAAAAAAAACUUAGCAUAGUUAGCUUUGCAUAAAGUGAUAAAACAAAAAACAAGAACAAUAUUUUUUUUUCCAGAACCCAAAGGAAUAAACGAAAACAAAGUAAGCAUGCUGAAAAUAAAUGAAUCCAAUCACAGGCAAGUAAUAUACAGACUGAAAUACUUCCCCCGACAUGUAAGCUAAAAAAAAAUUAAUACACGGGUACAAAUAUUGAAAGCCACAAAAAACAGCUACCAGUAAAUCAAAUUGACAUAAUCAACAGACACACAACCCUAAUUCAUGGCAUCCAUGAAAGUCUUAGAAAUAUGUGACAGACAUAAAAUUGGAUUAAGAGUUACCCCAAAAAAUCAAGCAUACCAACGGAUUCAGGGUUAUUAGACAACUAAAGGUCCCAUAAUUCAUAUAAAAUAAAUGGAUUGAAAGCACAAGAAUAAUGAAAUUACUACAUAAGAAAUUGUUAUUAUAUGACCAUGGAGAUAGAAUAUGUUAUAUGUGUUUACCCAAUAAUGCGCAAAACAGAUAAAUAAAGGUGCUUGCUUUCAAUUGCUAUGCAUUCAACAAGAAACAAGUAAUACACAAGUGCAGCAUAAUAAAUAUUCAAAAGUAAAACAGAUCCACAAGUAAUGAAAGCAUGUAAAUUAACAAUCGAAACAAAAUCAAAUAGAAUUAAAUUGAUUAUUGUAUACUAGCAUCGAAGUUAAAAGGAAAUAGAGGAAUUUGAAGUAAAGAGAAACCUGUUAAUAGUCAAGAUCUCCAUUAGAAGUGUUUCAAUUGAAGAAAGCUUUCCAAAUCUCUGACACAAUACAACUUGAUGAUGAAUAAUAGUAGUAAUAGUAGAGAGAGAGAGAGAGAGAGAGAGAGAGAGAGAGAGAGAGAGAGAGAGAGAGAGAGAGAGAGAGAGAGAGAGAGAAGAAGAAGAAGAAGAAGAGAUUGAACAAAUUACCUGAGAGAAGAAAGCAGCGCGACAAACGUUAAGACGACAACGGCUUCUUCUUCUUCUUCUUCGCUCUUUGCUUUCUCUCUUCACAAAUUUCUUUCCUUUGGUUUCGCAAGCUCUUUAUAUAUAUAGUUUUG